rfam:Shewanella algae strain BrY contig_15_1, whole genome shotgun sequence.
GCCCUUGGCUGAGUUAGUGAUCGGCUGGGGAAACUAUCAAGACUAUUUUGGAGAGACACAUGUCACUAAGUACUGAAGCGAAAGCGAAAAUCCUGGCUGAGUUCGGCCGUGGCGAA